CUGCACCUGACGGAUGCAAUUAUUAAAGGUUAAACAAUGCUGACAAAAACAACAACUGAUUGAUACUAAGGUGACUUCCAUAUUGUUUUCCUUUCUAGCCCCUCUUACGUUGACCUCUCACUCUCACCUAUGUGUCUCUAACCCUGAAAACCUUGUUAGCGCUUUAGCUGUCAACACAUUUCCUUCCUAUGCUCUCACGUUCUCACUGGCGCAGGGAACCAGAGGACACAAAGCUUGCUCUGAGCGAAACGAGGGGCCGAGUUGCUACGCUGAGACACAUUCCAGGUUUGGUGUGCAUAGAACGGCCAUUGUUCUGCCAUGAAUACUUCAGAUACGCUGGAGGAGAAGGCCUGCACAGAAGGACCAUGAGGAUGGGAUGGGGCUGGUGGGCUCUGCAGCGGGUGAGAAAGGGGGAAUGGCCGGGAGUGGGGGGCACCGCGCUGGGUUUCUUUGCAACAUGCAAAGGCAAAGCCCUGUUCUCCGUGGAUGCCGUCCACACCCACUACUGCAUGCAUGCAGAUUGGCAUCGCAACAGAACAGGCGUAAAGGCCUUCCCACGGAAGACACGCAGCACUCCGAGGACCCGGACAUCUAUAGGGGUCACCCCUCCCACCAGGAAGCAACUCCAUUCUGCAGCAAACGUGGAAUCUAUUCUACACAAUGUAUUAAUAAUCCUAAUAUUGUUCUGUAGCAGUAAAAGUUGUGAUUUAUUUUUGUCUAUAUUCAGUAGAUCUAAAAAAUCUGUAUUGAUAGACGUUAGCUUGUGCAAGUAACCAACCAUGAUGUUUCACUUGCUCCUACCAUAAGUGAUGAGUUUGCCCAUGGGCUUCAGCAGGUUGUAGGCCUUGUGGGUGUCUGAUCCUCCAAGAGGGUCCAGUAUAAUGUCCAGCCCUGUAGCAGUAGAGAGAAGAAGGGGACAGCGUGAAUUCAAAGAGGACAAACUGCAGCAGCCCCCUCUGCACGCCAGAGAUCGGUGGAAGUAGCGAGUGUGGCCAAGUUGUGUCUUGUUUGCAUGAAGACGAACCCAUACGUGUGCCAAGCGGAGACGAGGGCCUUGUGACUGACUGAAGGGGACUCCUCAAAUUGGGCUACCCCUCCUCGCUCCGCUAAGCCCCGCUUCUAUUGAUUGUGGGAGGCUCACAGCAGGAUUGAGCCUUGACCACGGCGCGGAUGAAUUGACGGAGAGCCAAAGACAGAGAGAAAGAACAGAGGUGGAAGGAAGAGGAGCGUCCAACCCCUGGAACGAGGCCUUCGUCCCACUAAGAAUCAGCAAGAACUAAAAAGAAAGAGACACUGCACUUUGAUUCAGUAUCUGAGAACAGAAACGAUGAAUGAUGAGCAAGGAUGAUGAUGAGCAACCACUGCUUCGUGAACUGAGCUACACGUGUACAUGCAAAACAAUCUGCCUCGUCCCCAAUAACAGCAUUUCCACAUGGAAACCGGUGCAGAGGCUCCUCACCUUUGGGGCUGAUCUUGCGGACUUCUUCCACGUAGUCCUUGGUGCGAUAGUCGAUGGCGUGCGUGACGCCGCCCUCGCUGAUGGUCUCAUGCUUGCUGGAGGACGCCGUGCCGAACACAGUCACGUCCUUCACUGUCUUGCACAGCUGGGUCGCCGCUAUGCCCACGCCGCCUGGAGGAGGAGAGUUUCAGUGUCAAGAUCAAAAUUGGCUUCAGAGUCCGUACGCGCUUAAUCAAGCAGGCCCUGAUCGAGCAACGCUGACAUCGACGAGGGAACGGACAAGAAAGGAGAACCGCUGCUGUUGCUGCUGGAUGCGAGCGUUGUUACAACAUCCCCAUCUCUCCUUGUCCUCCGAGAGAAACCAAGUUUGUGUUGCCAAGGAAACCUUGGGCAAAUUACCGGCAAUGACUGAGCAAAAGAAGCCAUUUUGUUUCAUUGACUGCUCCGGCUUUGGACAUAAAGCAGUGUUUUUUGGGAAUCACUACUGGAAGAUGAAUAUUACCCUCGAUAUGUUUGUCUGACAGGCCCUGAACUAGAACAGUGAGAAAGCAUGUGUAUAUUUAGGACUCAUUUCUAGGGGAAGGACAAAUAAAUCCGCCAUUUUACUUGUUUCUCCCAGUGAAAUCAUGUGAGUCUACACCUGUUUACCUUUGACUUGUGGCUUAUCAGCGAGGCGCGGCUCAUGUGAAGUAGUAGGGCCGGUUAAAUCAGCGUUGCCAGUCUGACGGAUUUAUAAGCUGGUUUUGGUUAAUGACUCCGCCGUCAUAUACUCUGUCCUUUACUGCCAGGCAGUCGCAUAUUAAUAUUUAACCAGCAGCUGUGGGGAAACGACGUCUGCAGAGACCCGGCCUGCUUUCGCUUUUUACUUCAAGAAACAAAAGACUCCCCAAUCGAGCCAUAAAUCAUUAGGUUCAUGUGACGACCGUCUCAUUAAUGCCAAAACUGUUAAGUUGAAAUGCGUUUCCAGCCAAAGAGAUGAUGCAACCCAGCGAAGGUACCCGUCUCUGAAUCUCUCGUGAGCAAACUUCUGAUUUCUGAUCACAAGACCGCUGAGCGCUGCCAAGAAGCCUCCACUGCGUCCUACCUCGCUUCAAGAGAGAGGACCUCAGCCUUGAACACUCCUCAGCGCCUGCUAGAAUCUACUAAUCUUCACAAAUAUGCACAGGGAUUAAAAUAUCAGCCUUCCAUUAACCCGGUGCUUUAGUUCCCAUCGUUGAGUCCCUGAAAUAUAUUUUUCCCCCUCAACAUCGACGUCUUCACACUAGAAGUAGUCUUUUUAAAUGAAAUGUCAGAGCGUGAUUCACGGCCAUCCACAAACACUUAGCCUCCGUCUGGGGAAGACAGAGCAACUUAAGCAAAAUUCUUGCUGCUAAUUGCAUUUGUUCUGCUCAAAAUCCAAUUGAAUUGUUUACACUUGGCAAUUAGGAAACGUCAAUAAAGCGCCUGCCUAUCUCGUUUUUCCUUUCUCUCUCCGGAGCAACAGGAUACACAGUGGGGUUUUGUCUCGCCCUGAAUUCUUACAUACUGAAAUUCUGGCACAAAUUGCUUUUGGCUUCCAUGACACGACUGGAGUGAGGAGGAAUUUUCCCUAAAACACAGCGGAAUCCGGACUGACACUGAGGCCACUGUUAUUGCUCCACACCCAGAGUUCAACAGCAGGGGUGGGUGGGGACGUCAGGAUCGGUUUUCAUAAAAAGAUAGCGGGAUGGAUCCCCUGUCUUCCGCAUCACGACAUAUAUCUCAAUUUACUUUGGAGUGACAGCCUCGCUUUCAACUCGUAUUCGCGUCCGGAUAAACACUCUCGCACACGCGGGCCACGCUACGGUCUCAGGUGCGAGUCGGCAGACGGAUGCUCGCCAUAUGGCAGCUGCCGGGGACGACGUGGUCGUCUGAGCUGCUGUUUCGCUGUGAUUUUAUUUGCAUUUAUUUCCACGUUUCCUCAAGGACUCUGGUCUUUGCUAACCUACCAUUAGCUCGCGGUGGUAACAGCUGAGGAGGAGAGAAGCACAAAUGUGGAUCCACGCAUCCUUUCUCCCCAAACCCGCCGUGGCAGCGUUUCAACAACAAGCCCGAGCAAAGAAAUGAGCAGUUUAUUGCUACGCUCUGCAGCUCUGUAACAGUUAUGAGCCUUGUAAAAGGAGACGUGGUUAGUUGUUUGUGGACGUGGACUCUGAAAUAUUACUCAUUAUGUAACUUCGGUGUUUUUUUUUAU